rnacentral:rRNA from 1 species
UACGUAGGGGGCAAGCGUUGUCCGGAAUUAUUGGGCGUAAAGCGCGCGCAGGCGGCUCUUUAAGUCUGGUGUUUAAUCCCGAGGCUCAACUUCGGGUCGCACUGGAAACUGGGGAGCUUGAGUGCAGAAGAGGAGAGUGGAAUUCCACGUGUAGCGGUGAAAUGCGUAGAGAUGUGGAGGAACACCAGUGGCGAAGGCGACUCUCUGGGCUGAUAACUGACGCUGAGGCGCGAAAGCGUGGGGAGCAAACAGG